UGAAAUGCUCCUCAGAAGCACACAGAACGCUUGUUUAUAAGCCUAUUGGCAAUUCUCAGUGUUUCCCCAGCAGCAGCAAGGGAAAAAGGCAGAACAGAAACGGCUGUAGAAGAAAAGUGAUUAAAAAGCGUAAUUAGCAUUUGCCCCUGAUAAAUGAGCAAGCCAUUAAUUAGCGUGAUUUACCACUGGCUUUUUUUAUGAUCUCGAAUGACGGCGGUAUGACUAGCCCAUCGGUAAGUUUUCCUUUCACCAGUUGUCAGAGCUAACACCCUCAUUACGAGUCAGCGACGUCCCAAAGUUAAUGGAGAUGGCAACCCGCCAAAACUGAUAAAGCGGGAAGAUCUUCACUGGCUUACAGGUAGGAAGCAGGUCAUCUAGCAGCCAGCCAACCAUUCCAGCAGGGAAGCCAGCUAGCCCAGCAAAGACUGUGAUUGUAGUGCUGUCUGGGUGUCUUCUUCCUAAUUUCACCAGCUGCAAGCAUCGUGACCUCAUUUGAUAUUGCUGUUAUCUCUGGAAGAUCGGUUUACUAGCUGCCAACUCACUACCGAUGCUGCUUUCAUCAUAGAGUGAAAUGAGCCACAUGUCUUUGGCGUGCUGUUUCACACAUCUAAAAUAAUAUAUAUAACAAAGAAACCAUACUAAUUAGCAAAUUACCUGGAAAUAAAAAUAUUAAUAGAGAUUGCUUUUUUAGCAUAUAAAACAUUAUUUCCAUUUUAAUAUGUAUAUUAUCUUUCUUAACGUGUAACAAUAUUCUCAUUUAAUGUAUAUGUCAGUAUCAUACAUAUUUACUGGAUGUGUAUGUGUUCUGGAAUAACUAAGAUGAUAGUGCUUUGAAGUAUGUAAACCACAUGGUUAUCCUGAUGCCUAAAGAAAUGAUUAAUGCGAUCAACCUUUUGAAAACAGGACAUUAUAGUGUGAGUGUGCAUCCUAAAGCAUAUUAUAUACUUUUUUUAAAAAUGUGCACAUAAUUUGUAAUGAAAUUAAUUGUUACAAAAUGCAGGAAUUCCACAAUUAUGUUGUAUUAUGAUACAUUAGUUAUGACUGCAUAUCUAUUUUAAGAGUGAAAGACUGCACUUAAUGAAAUUAAAUAAAUAUAUAAUAUAUUCUGUAAUGAAGAAGAUGAAAAAUGUCUCAAAACACAAUUGAUCCCCAGUGUAUUAUUAGC